AAUAGAUACCCUGGUAGUCCUAGCCGUAAACGAUGAACACUAGGCGUAGUCGGUAUCGACCCCGGCUGUGCCGUAGCUAACGCAUUAAGUGUUCCGCCUGGGGAGUACGGCCGCAAGGCUAAACCCAAGAAGUUGACGGGGCCCGCACAAGCAGCGGAGCGUGUGGUUUAAUUCGUCGCAACGCGAAGAACCUUACCAGGGCUUGACAUGUGGCGGAAAACGGCGGAAACGUCGUCCUCCCGCAAGGGACCGCCAUGCAGGUGUUGCAUGGCUGUCGUCAGCUCGUGUCGUGAGAUGUUGGGUUAAGUCCCGCAACGAGCGCAACCCCCGUGGCAUGUUGUAUCUCUCAUGCCAGACUGCCGAGAGAAACUCGGAGGAAGGUGGGGAUGACGCCAAGUCAGCAUGGCCCUUACGUCCUGGGCUACACACACGCUACAAUGGCCGGUACAACGGGUUGCCAAACCGCGAGGUGGAGCUAAUCCCUUAAAGCCGGUCUCAGUUCGGAUUGCAGGCUGCAACUCGCCUGCAUG
rnacentral:rRNA from 1 species